GGACUCGUGGAUUCAGGCCCUUCCCUCGUUAGUUACCUGGGUGAUGCAUCCCUCAGUUUUCUGAUCUGUAAAAAGGGCAUAACUACAAACCUACACACAGGGUUGUUGGGGAAACUAGUUGAGAUAAUCUGUGUAAGUGCUCGGCAAAGUUACUUACCUAUUAGCGGCGCACGCGCUUAGAACUCAGAGCCUGACGCGCCUCCCGAUGCCUGAGGGCAGACGGACUACAACUCCCAGAGGUCUGCGCGGGCGCGUUGCCGCAGUGGUCGGGCGCGGCCGCCGAGGGCGAGGCCUAUAAAAGCCCUCUCCCAACGCUCCGACGUCCCUUUUCCCAGCCGCCGUGCAGGGGUAGUUGUGCGUCGCUGUCUCCGACCUGCUGCAAGUCACGCGCAUUCUUCCACUUACCCUACUGUAGCUUGGCCGCCACCGGCCCCUCACUCGCCCGGGCUGCCUCCCGAGGCUGAGGGAUGUUAAGCGCGGCUCUCAGUUGCCGGGCCUCCCGGCCUGCUGGGACCGAGGUCCAGAAGGCCUGGUCGGCCGCAUGCGCGAUGAGAGGGGCCGGACCCCGAGAGGGCCGUGCCUGCUCCCGCCUCGGCCCGCGCUGUGACGGUUGUGCCAGAUGAAGAUUCCAGGAGGACUCUGAGGUUGAGCUUUCUGGUGAGGAUUCUGUGGUCAUGACUGUGAUGGAACACCACCAUCUCAGGACCCGGUUGCCCCCCAAGUGUCCUGGCAGUAUCUGCUACUGAAGAAUCUGAAGUUACCAGGUUGUUGCUGUGCUUUAGAUAAGAUUUCUUACCAGUAAAGCUGUCCUUAUCUGUGAUUAUGGAUCUAUAGUUGGGAGACAGACCUUAUGGGAAGAGGCAAGCUAAAAGACAACAGGUUAUUUUCAGCGGAAAACCAUGACCUCUGUAUUUCUGCUUAUGCUGGCAUGUGGUAUGUAAGUGACCAAUAAAAGACUUAAAGUA